rnacentral:lncRNA from 1 species
AAAUGGGCCAAUUCCACAGGCGGGUAACCAAUGUGAACCGCCUGUAGAAAUAUUUUUAUAGAAAAUACAAAAUCGACUUUUAAAAAUAGAAAAAAAAAGAUUUUAAUUACAAGGAAGGCCCACUGGCAAGUCACGCAUCUUUUCGCGUAAAAUCACGUGCUACGCGGCUAGUGGGAUUCGAACCUAAGACCUCGCCCUCGCACAUAACCUCCUCUGCCACUCCACCUAUCACUCAGA